GAGGUAACAUACAUUAUGGGUCAGCUAGGACUCAGGUAUGGAGGUAACAUACAUUAUGGGUCAGCUAGGACUCAGGUAUGGAGGUAACAUACAUUAUGGGUCAGCUAGGACUCAGGUAUGGAGGUAACAUACAUUAUGGGUCAGCUAGGACUCAGGUAUGGAGGUAACAUACAUUAUGGGUCAGCUAGGACUCAGGUAUGGAGGUAACAUACAUUAUGGGUCAGCUAGGUCUCAGGUAUAGAGUAACCAUACAUUAUGGGUCAGCUAGGACUCAGGUAUGGAGUUACCAUACAUUAUGGGUCAGCUAGGACUCAGGUAUAGAGUAACCAUACAUUAUGAGUCAGCUUGGUCUCAGGUAUAGAGUAACCAUACAUUAUGAGUCAGCUUGGUCUCAGGUAUAGAGUUACCAUACAUUAUGGGUCAGCUAGGUCUCAGGUAUGGAGUUACCAUACAUUAUGGGUCAACUAUGACUCAGGUAUGGAGUUACCAUACAUUAUGGGUCAGCUAGGACUCAGGUAUGGAGUUACCAUACAUUAUGGGUCAGCUAGGACUCAGGUAUGGAGUAACCAUACAUUAUGGGUCAGCUAGGACUCAGGUAUGGAGUUACCAUACAUUAUGGGUCAGCUAGGACUCAGGUAUGGAGUUACCAUACAUUAUGGGUCAGCUAGGACUCAGGU